UACGGAGGGCGCAAGCGUUGUUCGGAAUUACUGGGCGUAAAGCGCGUGUAGGCGGCCAGGUAAGUCGGAUGUGAAAGCCCGGGGCCCAACCCCGGAACUGCACCCGAUACUGCCUGGCUGGAGUCCCGGAGAGGAUGGCGGAAUGUCCGGUGUAGAGGUGAAAUUCGUGGAUAUCGGAAGGAACACCAGUGGCGAAGGCGGCCAUCUGGACGGUGACUCACGCUGAGACGCGAAAGCGUGGGGAGCAAACAGG
rnacentral:rRNA from 1 species